AGUGAACGCUGGCGGCGUGCUUAACACAUGCAAGUCGAACGAGAACGGAUUAUAGCUUGCUAUAAUUGUCAGCUAAGUGGCGCACGGGUGAGUAAUGUAGGUAAUAUGCCUCUUACUAAGGGAUAACAAAUGGAAACGUUUGCUAAUACCUUAUACUCCUUAUUAACAGAAGUUAAUAAGGGAAAGAUUUAUUGGUAAGAGAUUAGCCUGUAUUGUAUCAGUUAGUUGGUGGGGUAAUGGCUUACCAAGACUAUGACACAUAACUGGUUUGAGAGGAUGAUCAGUCACACUGGAACUGAGACACGGUCCAGACUCCUACGGGAGGCAGCAGUGGGGAAUAUUGCACAAUGGACGAAAGUCUGAUGCAGCAACGCCGCGUGGAGGAUGACACAUUUCGGUGCGUAAACUCCUUUUAUAUGAGAAGAUAAUGACGGUAUUAUAUGAAUAAGCACCGGCUAACUCCGUGCCAGCCGCCGCCGUAA
rnacentral:rRNA from 1 species